rnacentral:rRNA from 1 species
GACGAACGCUGGCGGCGUGCUUAACACAUGCAAGUCGAACGGAAAGGCCCUGCUUUUGUGGGGUGCUCGAUUGGCGAACGGGUGAGUAACACGUGUGUAUCCUGCCCUUGACUUUGGGAUAACUUCAGGAAACUGGGGCUAAUACCGGAUAGGAUCUCCUGCAGCAUGGUGGGGGUUGGAAAGUUUCGGCGGUUGGGGAUGGACUCGCGGCUUAUCAGCUUGUUGGUGGGGUAGUGGCUUACCAAGGCUUUGACGGGUAGCCGGCCUGAGAGGGUGACCGGCCACAUUAGGACUGAGAUACGCACCAGUCUCCAACGGGAGGCAGCAGUGGGAAGUAUUGCACAAUGAGCGGACGCCUGAUACAGAGAUGCCGCGUGCGGAAUGACGGCCUUCGGGUUGAAAACAGCUUUCGCCUGUGACGAAGCGUGAGUGACGGUACUGGGUAAAGAAGCACCGGCUAACUACGUG